GAAUUGGAAAAAAGCUCAGCGGCUAGAUGUGCCAAGCUUAUAGAGACAUAACCCAAGAGACUUGCAGCUGUAAUUGCUGCAAAAGGUGGCUCUACAAAGUAUGGACUUUGCAGCAGUGUGUGUGAUGAGGACUAACAGCUGCCAGUCUGACAGCAGUGGCUUCCUGGAAGAGCCCUUCAUCCCUUCCAUUACCCAGCAUCCCUCACCUGGACCCGAGCUCAUGAAGGCUUUGUCGGGAAUAUUUGGAGGCAGCACUGACAGCCAGAUCACUGUAAAAGGAGCUUCACCCCCCUCGUCCCCCCCAUCCACUUCCCUGGACCCUUCCCCUCCUUCCCUCUCCAUGUGCCACCCAAGACCCGAGUCUCCUCUAUACAGACCAGAGACAACAAGCCCUACAGAGGAGACACCCAGACACCAGGAUUCCCCCACACCCCACUCCCUCUCUGAUGCCUUGGAGAUGACUAACUCUGCUUUUGGAGCCAGGCCAAGCCUAAUGGAAAACACUGUCACUGAGGAAGAUGGAUUCUCUUCGGCCUGCGGUUCACCUUGUCAUAAGCCAGACUCUCCGUUACGGCACGUUAUUAUUAUCAUGAAAACAGAUAGAGAAACAGAACACUUUACUGUGGAAUCAGAGGAAGCUGUUCCAAUAGGAGGAGAGGAAAAGGACAUAGCGGAACAAAGUGGCAAUGUUCAGACAGGAACAGAGGCUGUUGGUGAUCAGGACACCGAUUGUUAUGGGUCACAUGAAGGCUCUCGGAUGAACUCGGUAGCUCUGGUGCAGAUGAAGAAAGAGACAGAGAUGAAGACGAAAGUACAGAUUAGUUCUGGUUUGGAAGGUCCAGUGUUGGGUCCUGUUGCUGUUCCUGAGGUGGUGAAUCAAGGCUCUGAGACUGGAUCUGUUUGUCAGGACCGGUACUCUGAAGAUCCUCUAUUAGGAUCUGACCCUAACUUCUCAGCAGAGCCUCUCCCUGCCUCCUCUCUCCCCCCAGCAGAGCCUCUCCCUGCCUCCUCUCUCCCCCCAGCAGAGCCUCUCUCUGCCUCCCUCCCCCCAGUGCACUGGGAAACAGGUGGCUCAAAGAUUUCAGAGGGAUCCUCAAGCUUGGUUGUCCAAGAGCCUGUCCCACCACUAUAUCAACCAGCAGACCCAUCGACAGACCCACCUCCAGGCCCAGCUUUAACCUCACCUUCAGAGCAAGUGUCACCUCCAUCCCCACCACCAUCUCCAUCCCCAGCCUCGUGGCCACACCAACCUCCAGCCUCAGCUUUUCCGGCAGCAUCCAGCUCAUCUCCAACCCAAGCCCAUUCCCCAAUCCCAAACCAUUCUCUAUCAGCCCUAACCACAACACCAACCCCAUCCUCAAUUCCAAACUCGCCAUCAGCCCAUUCCUUAACCGUAGCUCCAUCUCAAGCCCCAACUCCACUCGUCCCCCACAGUGGUGCUUUCAGGUCAGGCCGGUCUGUGUCUGUCCAGAUGCCCUCCUCCCUGCCCUCUGUCUCCCACUCUGCCCUCCGGAGAGGUGGCGUCCCCCACACCCCCUCCCCGCUCGGCCCUUCCUUCGAGCCCCGCCCCCUGACUGACCUGACGCUCCGGCAGAGGCGGAACUCCUUCUCCAGGAAGGCGUGGUCAGAUGCUGAUGUCUCCCACUUUGCAGAACACAGAAACACUGCGGUUGCCAUGGGAAAGGCAGUCAUGACACCUGAGAUGAUAUCCCUCCUGUCCCCCGUCCCCUCCCUGUCAUCGUCCAAUCGGUGGCUGUCUCGCGACGGUUCACGAAGAUCCGGAAGUUUCCAGAUGAAGUCCACCUCCUUGGACACGGGGCUGUGGCAGGAGGAAGAGGGGGAUGAAGUGGGGGAUGAGGAUAGACGGUGGGAACGAGCCCUGUUCUCUGGGCUUUCCUGCUGCUGCUCCUGUGAUAACCGCUGUAGCUGCUGUUCUCAGAACAAUCACCUCAAACCAUCCUCCGUUUCAGCUUUCCCUUAUUCCCUGGAUGAGCUGGAGGGGAUGAUGCACUGUAUGAGGAAGUUCCGCUGCGUCCUGACAGACAUCGAGGAACAGCUGUCAGAAGACCAGGCCUCGGUGUACAGCUCACUCUCUGACACUGACAGAGAUGAAGUGCGAGACAUCUUGGAGCUGAGGAAAGCUGUGAAACAGGAAGCAGGAGAGUUGGAACUGCAGCUCACUGACCUGGUUCAUCGCUAUGACGACAGCUUCAAAAUGAAGAUGCACAGACUACUCGAUGAACAAUCUCACCUCUACACCCAGCUAAGGCUCCUCCCCCUGAUCCCCAAGACCACCCCUGGCUCCGCCUCCUCUAGGAGCAUGGCCACUCAGUGCUGCCUGCUGCCCUGGCUGCCUUUGACGGACAUGUCCAGGCCACACCCCUCACCGCAGGCCACCUGGGAUUUGGAGUCCAGAUCAGCUCUGCCAGAUUCCAGUUCUAUGGGCCAGAGACUAAACCAUGGUUCUACCGGCACCAAGCCAGACAAACUGGACAUUGUGGGUUUCAUCCAGAGACUGAAGGAGUCCAUACGCCACUCUGUCAAUACUGACUCACUGGAGUAAAAGAGAGAUGCUGCUUCUGCUGUAGCUAACUGAAAAUGAUCUGCUGUCUAAGUUAUAGUGUGUCCAAUCAACCUGGACUCGGGUAGAUGUAACAUAAUAAACGUAAAUCUGUCUCCCUCCAGUUAGUAUGAUAUGUUAGGUGUGGUAAGGUAUGUAUUUCUUUGUGGAUGUCCAUCAUCCAUUUCUUAUGUUAUAAAUAACAAUUCAUAUGAUAUGUUACGAAUUGCAAUUUGUACAAUAUGUUACGAAUUUGCGAUUAAGUAUGAUAUGUCACAAAUUCCAGUUUGAUGUGGCUAACCCUAACAUUAAAGUAGCUAACGUUAACUAGGCUAAGGGUUAGCUAACAUGCUAAGUAGGUGCAAAAAGUAGUACGUUUCAAAAUAGCUAAUUAGCCUAAAUGCUCAAGUUGUCCGUGAUGAGAUCGGAAGACGCAACCUUAGAGGUGCUAGAAGUUUGCAUUAUAUGCCCACCUAUCCACCCCGACCCACCACCCUCCUUUUGUUUUUGCCUUAUGUAACCUUACCAAACAUACCAUAUCAUAUUCAUUUGAGUGUCCUGGAUUUACGUUGACUAUGUCUAGUCUAUGAAACCAGGCUGGUGUAAUCAAUGGAUUCUAUUACUACUAAAGUAGUCCAGUGUCCACAUAAUGAAUAAAGAGCACGAAUGCAUGAAAUCAUGUGUGCUUGUUCUAUAACGUGCCGAUCCAAUGCAUAACAUACUGUCCAAAGAGUUUAUUUGUGUGUAUUGUCAUUCCCUACGUAUCAACAACAGCAUUCGUCUCAACUAAGGAUGUGUUCUUAUUGUAACAUGAAGUCUCCUACUGUUACCUACCUGCAUCAAUGCUCUGGGUAAGACAGUUCCCCAUCCACAUGAGAUCCAUGCAGUAUGUGUAUGCUAUAGAGAGGAGCUCCUAUGUGUCACCCUCCUGUUCUGGGUUAUGUCCUUAUUAGCACAAGAGGUGGUCUUGCUCACGUCUCCUGCCUCUUCAGACCCCAAUUAGCAGCUGGGUAGUAACAUUCCAGCCUGUGAGCCUGAUGCAUUUCAUGACUCCCUCUACUGGUGCUCCCAACUAAAAUGUAAGAGCACCACAUGCCAUUUAGGAACACCAGAAAAUAAGAUUUAAAAAAAAUGUUUUAUUGCAAUACAGCCUACGGUAUAUAGAGCCCCACAGUGGAAGUGUCAUAAUACCCAUAAACCUAACGGUCAAACAGGGAGUCACCUUGUCCUUGACAGAUUUAGAUUGUUAUCAAAACGCCACGCCAGGGUAAGCCUACACAACACAGCUCUUAUUUUAAGUGUUUGUAAAAUCCCCUAUGGGAAAAAUGAAUGAAUG
rnacentral:lncRNA from 1 species